AUGUUUCUUGGAGCAGAUUGCUCCAGGAGAUGCUGUAGAGUCCCAGAAAAUACCACUGAGAGAGCUUUGCAUGAAAAUUUCCCCGGAAGAAGGGCAGAGCGUGGGGGACUUCUCUCCCUCCGCCCGCAGGCUGCUGCACCGCACCGCACCGCACCGCACCGCAGCCGCGCGAGGCCGGCUCGCCUGCGCCGGGGGAGGCGAGCUCCCGCACAGCCGGCCCCGGGCGCCCCGUGCUCCCGCCGGCCGCGGGGGGCCGGGAGGUUGCCAGCGGGUGCCCCAAGGAAGGGGUCCGGCCCGCACUGUCGGCGGAUGGGGGACGCCCCCCGUGUCCCCUGGUUAGUCUUGCACGAGGCGCGCGGUGUUAUAUCUGCCGGUCCUGCACAGGACCCCGGGGAUGGGCCRAUGGGCCGGGGCUUUCACCGUCUCCGACGUCCCCGCCGGGAGAGCUGCGGACAGGUUUGCGGGUGGCGGGGAGGUAACAAGGCGCUGACAGCGAGCCGUUUUUCCUCCCGGAUGGUUUUUCUCCGGCUUCUCGCCAGGCCGCGGAGCCUCCUCGGGGAGGCGGCGGCAAUGGGAGCGCCGGGGCAGGGUCCCACAGCACCGGGGCRAGGAGCGAUCCCUGCGGCAGCACCCACAUCCUCGCCGGGCGCUCAGGGAGUGAGCGUGGCGCCGGAGCCGCCGGCUGCCAGGAAGGCUUCAGCCCGGCCCCGCCAUAAGGAAGUGAUUGAAGCUUUCACGAUCUGUUUAAGCGGUGACAUAUGUUUCCUGCAGGCGAGGCGGUGUGCUGCGCGCCAGCCGUAUGAGAUAUGGCAGCGCCCGGGCUCUCGCCGACACCGAGCCCGUCCCUGCCGRCUCCGGCGGCUCGUCGAGGGGAUGGCCCCAUCCCAGCGGCCCCGUGCAGGAAUGGGAAACCGCUCGUGCUGCAAAGGGCAAUCAACACGAGGAGACCAGCCCUUGGAAAAAAAAAAGAGCAUUUCUGUGGUUCGAGGCCGUGUAGCCGGGAGGCCRGCCGCCCGCGAGAGCUGCGAGACGUGA
rnacentral:lncRNA from 1 species